rnacentral:hammerhead_ribozyme from 1 species
GUACAACUGACGAGUCCCGAACAGGACGAAACACACGUCCUGUAU